UCCGUAGGUGAACCUGCGGAAGGAUCAUUAUUGAAUGAACAUGGAGUUUGGUUGUCGCUGGCCCCUUC
rnacentral:rRNA from 1 species